rnacentral:lncRNA from 1 species
GGGACAACUUCCAGCCGCUUCUCAAGAGAACAUCAAGAGUUAUCUUCUCCAGCUACCAAGGGCCUGGAACUGGAACAUACUAAUCUACUUUACGAAGACAAUUAUUUGGGGUCAAGCAACUGGGAGCAAAAUUAUAUUGGUGAUCUUCGCAUUGCUAAUGAGAAUCAGGACCUUCAUUAUGGCUCUGAAAGCGCUGCAGGCUUUUCUGACAGUUUUGCUAGCGAGUAUGCUGCUGCAUCUGAUGGCGUUGUUGACCCC